AUAUAACUUUGUUGUGAGUAGUACCAUUGUACAAGUUUUACAUAACAGCAAACCAAUCAAAGAUGCUUUAUGGCAUGCACCCCUUAAAAACAUGAUUUCCACUCCACUGUGUAGUUCACUUUUAUGAUAAGGUUUAACAUGGAGGAUAAGACAUUGGAUAUUUCUGACAUUGACAAUAUUGACAAUGUUUGAAUUAGAAAUUCUUAAUUCCUCUAUUUCUCUCUGCCCCUUUUCUAAUCAUAUAAUCUCAUGUAGAAUAUGAAGGAGUGGAACGCUGAGCUGCAAGAGCAUAUUGGAAAAUUUAGAAAACAAGCAAAUGCAAUAGUUGAAUGUUGAAUGGGAUCGCAUGAUUUUUGCACAAUGGAGAUGUUUUAUUGAGGUUUGAGACUAGAUAAGUCCAGAUUUGGCAGCAAAGUUAGUGCAUUAGCCUAGCUAGCAGGUGUUUUCAGACCAGCUAUAACAGAUUUGGCUGCAACAGAUGUUUUUAAUUAACCAGCAGAUGCAGAUUUUCUUUUAACCAGCAGCAGAAUUAGUGCAUUAGCCUAGUCAGCAGGUGUUUUCGGGCCAGCUGUAAUAGAUUUGGCUGCAACAGAUGUUUUUAACCAGCAGAUGCAGAUUUUUUUAACCAGCAGGUGACUGCGUUGAAAUCACAAUUGGAUGAACAAAAUAGAACAUUGAUCGAACAAAAUAAAAAAUUUGAAGAACGAGAUAAAAGAUUUGAGGCAAUGAUGAACUUUUUUUCUCAAAACUAUCAAGGCCAAUUACCUUUUGACAUGGCUAUGUUCAAUAAUUCACCGGUUUAUGAUCAAGGAAGUGUGCCAACAUAUGAAACAAAUUCUCAACGUGAAAUGGGGUGUGGGUGAUAGCUUAAAAGA